rnacentral:misc_RNA from 1 species
AUAAGAUUUGGACUCAUUUCGGGUCCUUAAUCCUCAAACCUGUGGAAGCGAGAAGUGCUUCGGCGCCUCUGGGCGUCGAAUCUAUGCUGUUUAGCUUGUGUCUGAAGAAAAACGAAAUUUUA